UAUUAGCAUAGAAACGCGUAAAAAACACAGAUUUGUUGCGAAACUAAUGAAAACAAUAGGUUUGUUUACGACUACUAAUUCUCGACCACUUCGGUAGAACUGUCAAAACAGUCAGGCCUUGAAUAUGACGUUAGCCACGAUUUAGCUUAUAU